rnacentral:rRNA from 1 species
GACGAACGCUGGCGGCGUGCUUAACACAUGCAAGUGGAGCGACGAACCAGGGCUUGCCCUGGGGCAAAGCCGCGAACGGGUGAGUAACACGUGGGUACCCUGCCCCGAUGACCGGGACAACCCGAGGAAACUCGGGCUAAUACCGGAUGUGGAACCCUCACAUAAGGGAGGUUUCGAAAGGUAGCUUCGGCUUCCGCAUUGGGAGGGGCCCGCGGCCCAUUAGCUUGUUGGUGAGGUAACGGCUUACCAAGGCUUCGAUGGGUAGCUGGUCUGAGAGGACGAUCAGCCACACUGGGACUGAGACACGGCCCAGACUCCUACGGGAGGCAGCAGUGGGGAAUCUUGCGCAAUGCGCGAAAGCGUGACGCAGCAACGCCGCGUGGGGGAAGAAGGCCUUCGGGUUGUAAACCCCUUUCAGGAGGGACGAAGGUCACACGGUUAAUAGCCGGCGUGGCUGACGGUACCUCCAGAAGAAGCCCCGGCUAACUACGUGCCAGCAGCCGCAGUAAAAC